AGAUGUGAGGGCUGUCUGGCUGUGGCAUCUGUCACCCCGUUGAUAGCCAGGGUUGAUUUGGCUGAAUUGGCUGGCUAGGUGGGUGUCCCCUUCUUCCCUCACCAUUUCAUGUGGAUCGCUCCCGAAGCUGCACGCUCAGUUGAACAGAAUGACCAUCAAAGAGGACAACCAUCCCCGAAGAGGAGGACAGUCUUCAGUCAAGGAUAUAAGAGUAGCUGUACUCUCCUGCUAGAACCUUCAAACAAGCUCUCAGGGUCCAUUUGUAGGGGAACAUGGGGCAGUCAAGCUUCCAAGACUCCAAAUACAUCCAAAUGAGGUGCUGCAUUGGUGAGCUUUGAAUUUUUAUAAGAUGGAAAUAUCCUUAUUUU
rnacentral:snRNA from 1 species